rnacentral:rRNA from 1 species
AAUCAACGCUGGCGGCGUGCCUCAGACAUGCAAGUCGAACGCGAAAGUCCCCUUCGGGGGACAAGUAGAGUGGCGCACGGGUGAGUAACACGUAGGUAAUCUACCUUUGGAUGGGGAAUAACAACCGGAAACGGUUGCUAAUACCGCAUAAUGCAGCGGCACCUAAUGGUGACAGUUGUUAAAGCGGGGGAUCGAAAGACCUCGCGUCUAAAGAGGAGCCUGCGGCGGAUUAGCUAGUUGGAAGGUAAUGGCUUACCAAGGCUACGAUCCGUAACCGGCCUGAGAGGGCGGUCGGUCACACUGACACUGACAUACGGGUCAGACUCCUACGGGAGGCAGCAGUCGGGAAUUUUGGGCAAUGGGCGAAAGCCUGACCCAGCAACGCCGCGUGAAGGAUGAAAUCCCUCGGGAUGUAAACUUCGCAAGAACGGGAAGAAUAAGUAGGGACAACUACCCCCUAUGAUGACGGUACCGUUUGUAAGCU